rnacentral:tRNA from 1 species
UGUUAUAUGGUUUAGUUAGUUGAAGCGCCGGUCUAGCGAGUACGGAGUCGUGGGUUCGAAUCCCACUAUGUUUC